rnacentral:misc_RNA from 1 species
AGCACAUUUGCAUUGUGCAACGUCUCAACCUUUGCUGGAAGAAGGAAGUUUUCACGGAAAAGCCUCUAAUGAUGAAAGGAGUAGAGUGGAGCAAGCUAUGAUGGAUGCUGAGAACUCAAAACAGAGGGCUCUUGAAGAGUCAGUAAAACGGUGGCGAGCUGAAGAAGAUGCUAGGGAGGCUAUCAGCAUGGUGAAUCUACCCUUUCAUUUAAUGUAGUUG